CAGGAACAUUGCAGAAGCGACUGAGAAACACAAGGCGUGGGACUGACGUUUCUCUGGUUAAGUUAGCAGACUGGGACCUUCCCUGGAGUUGCAAGGACUCCAGCUGUAGAGGAAACUGCGCUUUGCCCUACCUCGGUUACAUCUGUAAUGACUACUCACUAGAGUUCUGCUAUGCUUCUUAAGGAGUAAACUUCUCCGACCACCCUUGCCGAGUGCUUAGUACCCAUGAAGCACUCCAUAGCCCUUUGCUGACUAGGUUGCAAACGUGAGCACCACGUUUUCAUGAAUUGGGGAAACUCGAUCUAUCUCUGCCUACUAUGUGGAGGAAAAGAAGAUAAAUCCACACUUGAAGAGAACGUGCACGUGCAUUUCACCGCAUCAGAAUGGCAUGAAGCAAGAGAGAAAAAAUGGCUUAUAAAAAGGCAUAUUCUUCGGCUGGAAAGAUGGCUCAGCAGUUAAGAACAUUUUCCUGCAGAGGACCAGUUCCCACAGGGUGGCUUGCAUGCUUGUAACUUCAGUUCCAGAUCUGACUCUUUCAGCUGGCAUCUGCUGGUGCACUUAAGCUCACACAUUUAUGUAAUUUUUAGAUGCAUAUUCUUAGGGUCACAUAGACUUAAGAAGGUGAAACCUAGGGACCAGUGUUUGUCCAGAUUUUUUAAACAGCUUCUACACUCUCUCGAGUUUGUUAUUCAUUCAGUUUUGCUAUUUCAUGCGGGCCCAAGAAUGGGGAACUGCUUCUAGCUCUAUCAGGAAUCCCUGCCAAAUUAUUAAGAUGCAGCUU
rnacentral:lncRNA from 1 species